GUGAUUUUGGGGUUAAGUGGGGGAUUCCCGAAGAGAAAACGCAUGAUUUUCAAGUUAAAUGGGGGAUUCCCGAAGAGAAACUGCGUGAAUUUCUUUUAAAUGGGGGAUUUCUGAAGAGAAACCAGGUAUUUAUGUUCUUAAACGGGGGAUUCUUGAAGAGAAAACGUGUGAUUUUGGGGUUAAAUGGGGGAUUUCAGAAAAGAAAACGCGUGAUCUUCGGGUUAAAUGGGGGAUUCUCGAAGAGAAAACGCGUGAUUUUUGGGUUAACUGGGGUAUUUCCAAAGUGAAAAUGCUUGAUAUUCGGGUUAAAUGGGGAUUUCCGAAGAGAAAACGCAUGAUUUUCAGGUUAAAUGGGGGAUUUCCGAAGAGAAAACGCGUGAUUUUCAGGUUAAGUGGAGGAUUCUCAAAGAGAAAACGUGUGAUUUUUGAGUUAAAUGGGGGUUUGCAAAUAGAAACCACGUGAUUUUCAGAUUAAAUGGGGGAUCCUCGAUGAGAAAACACAUGAUUUUCGGUUAAAUGGGGGAUUCUUGUAGAAAAAAUGCGUGAUUAUCCGGUUAAAUUGCAAAUGCUCUAAGAUCGAGCUCGUGAUUUUCGGGUUAAAUGGGGGAUUCUCGAAGAGAAAACGUGUGACUUUUGGGUUAAACGAAGGAUUCUCGAUGAGAAAACUCAUGAUUUUCGGAUUAAAGGUGGGAUUCAUGAAGAGAAAAUGCGUGAUUUUCGGGUAAUAUGGGAGAUUUGUGAAGAGAAAACGCGUGAUUUUGGGGUAAAAUGGCGAUUCUGAAAACAUAAUGAGUGAUUUCCGGGUUAAAGGGGGAAAUCACGAAGAGAAAAUGCGUGACUUUUGAGUUAAAUGGGGGAUUUGCGAAGAGAAAACACGCUAUUUUUGGCUUAAAUGGGGGAUUUCGGGUGAGAAAAUGCAUGAUUUUCGGGUUAAAUGGGGUAUUUCCGAGGAGAAAACGCAUGAUUUUCGGGUUAAAUGGGGGAUUCUCGAAGAGAAAACGCGUGAUUUUUGGGUUAAAGGGGUAUUUCCAAAGAGAAAACGCGUGAUUUUUGCUUAAAUGGGAGAUUUUUGAAGAGAAAAUGUGGCAUUUUUGCUUAAACGGUGGGUUUCUGAAGAGGAAACGCAUGAUUUUCGGGUUGAAUGAAGGAUUUCUGAAAAGAAAACGCAAGAUUUUCGGGUUAAGUGGGGGAUUUCGGAAAAGAAAACGCGUGAUUUUGGGGUAAAAUGGGGAUUCGCAAAGAGAAAAUGCGUGAUUUUCGCUUAAAUGUGGGAUUCUCAAAGAGAAAAUGCAUGAUUUUUGAG
ensembl:lncRNA